rnacentral:rRNA from 1 species
UACGUAGGGUGCAAGCGUUGUCCGGAAUUAUUGGGCGUAAAGAGCUUGUAGGCGGUUUGUCGCGUCUGCUGUGAAAUUUCGGGGCUCAACCCCCGAACUUGCAGUGGGUACGGGCAGACUAGAGUGUGGUAGGGGAGACUGGAAUUCCUGGUGUAGCGGUGAAAUGCGCAGAUAUCAGGAGGAACACCGAUGGCGAAGGCAGGUCUCUGGGCCAUAACUGACGCUGAGAAGCGAAAGCCAGGGGAGCGAACGGG